rnacentral:rRNA from 1 species
UAUGUGAUCGUCUCUCGCAUAUCAAUAAGCGGAGGAAAAGAAACUAACAAGGAUUCCCCUAGUAACGGCGAGUGAAGCGGGAAGAGCUCAAAUUUGAAAUCUUAAAGGGUUUCCCUUUACGAAUUGUAGUUUAAAGAAGUGUUUUCUGUUGAGGUUUUGGUAAAAGUUCUUUGGAAUAGGACAUCAUAGAGGGUGAGAAUCCCGUAUUUGACCUUUACUUUCAACUUUGUGAUACACUUUCAAAGAGUCGGAUUGUUUGGGAAUGCAGUCCAAAAUGGGUGGUAAAUUUCAUCUAAAGCUAAAUAUUGGCGAGAGACCGAUAGCGAACAAGUACCGUGAGGGAAAGAUGAAAAGAACUUUGAAAAGAGAGUUAAACAGUACGUGAAAUUGUCAAAAGGGAAGCGUUUGACACCAGUGUUGUUUUCUGAAAAUCAAUUAAAGAACUGUUUAUGCUAAGUUGUUUAGACUUUAUCAGCUAUCUGCUUAGUUUUGAGCUUUUCUUUAAUGCACUUUUCAGUUAACAAGUCAACAUCAAUUUCUUUUGCUGUAAAAAAGCUUGAGGAAGGUGGCUUGAGAUUCGUCUUAAGUGUUUAUAGCCUCUUGCCUAUGCAGUCGGAGAGAUUGAGGUCUGCAGCGUAGAUCCUUCGGGGCUAAAUGCAUUUGUGCUAAGUUAUAACAUUUUAUAGACAACUUGUUGACUAUGAUUUGUCUUGUAGCUUACUCGCUUAUGUUAUUUUACCUACGCUUAGGAUGUUGAGUAGCGACAUACGCAC